UUUACAUAUAGAAGAUCAAAAAUUAUAGCUGGAAUUAGUUUUACAGAAUAAUCAAAAUAACAUUAAUGUUUCACUUCUAUAUCCAGGAAGUAUGUGUAUGUAGAUGGAGAAAAAAUUACAAAAUUCAUCUAAGUAUUGACAUUUUUGUUGGUGGUUUUUUUUUUGUGUGUGUUUUUUUUAAUUUUUGUUGUUUUUUGUUUUGUUUUGUUAUGUUUUUCCCUACCAUUAUUUCACUAGAAGAAGGCAGAGAGCAAAUGAAGAAGAAAAGGUUCGAUUCUGACAACAAUCAUGAAAUCCUCUGUGAAGGCACUUCAGAGAGGCAAGACUCUUCCUCAGAACAAAGAUAGAAAGCCAGGAACAGUGGCCAGAGACUACAAUGUUCUUCAGAUGCUGGAGGUACUGAUGAGGAGUCUGGAAAUAAGAAGGAAUAUUCACCAUGAUACCUUCACACGUGGGAGCCAACAAUGGGGGUGAUUUCCAUGAAGAGGUACAGA
rnacentral:lncRNA from 1 species